rnacentral:misc_RNA from 1 species
GAUGAAGAACGUAGUGAAAUGCGAUAAGUAAUGUGAAUUGCAGAAUUCAGUGAAUCAUCGAAUCUUUGAACGCACAUUGCGCCCGCCAGUAUUCUGGCGGGCAUGCCUGUUCGAGCGUCAUUUCAACCAUCAAGCCCCCGGGCUUGUGUUGGGGACCUGCGGCUGCCGCAGGCCCUGAAAAGCAGUGGCGGGCUCGCUGUCACACCGAGCGUAGUAGAUUUUAUCUCGCUCUGGGCGUGCUGCGGGUUCCGGCCGUUAAACCACCCUUUUAACCCAAGGUUGACCUCGGAUCAGGUAGGAAGACCCGCUGAACUUAAGCAUAUCAAUAAGCGGAGGA